AUACGGAGGAUGCGAGCGUUAUCCGGAUUUAUUGGGUUUAAAGGGAGCGUAGGCGGGAGCUUAAGUCAGCGGUUGAAUGGUGCGGCUCAACCGUGCCCUGCCGUUGAAACUGGGUUUCUUGAGAGUGCAAGAGGCGGAUGGAAUUCAUGGUGUAGCGGUGAAAUGCUUAGAUAUCAUGAAGAACUCCGAUUGCGAAGGCAGUCCGCUGGGGCACGUCUGACGCUGAUGCUCGAAGGUGCGGGAAUCAAACAGGAUUAGAUACCCUGGUAGUCCGCACGGUAAACGAUGAUUACCCGCUGUCGGCGGCAGACAGUCGGCGGCCAAGCGAAAGCGAUAAGUAAUCCACCUGGGGAGUACGCCGGCAACGGUGAAACUCAAAGGAAUUGGCGGGG
rnacentral:rRNA from 1 species